AUAGUCUGGGGGAGAUAGUACAGAUUCUUCAGAGAAGUACAGACCAUGGCUGGCUGAAGUUGUUCAAGUACAGCAGCUUUUGCCAAAAUUCUCAAAGCAGAGCUGGGCCUGUGACAAUGUUAACUGGGCUGAUGCUUUUACUAUCACAUUCCCUGGGGAAGAGAAAGAAAACCAGUGAACAAAAUACAGGCACACAGUAUUGUGUGUCCACUCAUCCAGUGAGUGAGUAGCCUGGGCCUGGAGCUCAAUUGUGGCUGCUGAGAAACCAUGACAGAAGUCUUCAAGUGCAUUUGAUCCCAAGGGAUAAGAAAACGAUUGGACUUCAAGUGGUUACUUGAAUUCUACAUAGAGUAUUUGGUCACCUGAAUAUAGUGACAGGACUAUUCCAGGGCAAAAAAAGGACCAUAAUAUGUGAGGAAUGUCCUGAUAACAAUCUGGACUAUGGCCAUACUGAUUAAGAAUAUUCAAGCUACUACUGGAAGGGAAAUCUUUAAACUAUAUGCUGAUUGAGCUUCCAAGUGCAUCAGAAGCUGCCCUAAAACUCUCAAAUAAUAAAAAAUGCUACUGCUGAAACAACAUGAUCUAGCAAUUCGAGCAAGGGACCGAGAGUAAGGAGACAAGUUCUAAACCCAACUCUCUGCCCUUGCUCAGUAUAUGGCAGUGGGCACAGCACUUCUCACUACCUGUUUCCCUGUCAGUACUUUGAGGAUAAUGAUGCCCUGUGAAGUAUUUUGAAAUCUUUAGUGAUCACUGCUAUAAGAGCACAUAGUAGUCUCACUAUAUUUCACUAAUGAGUAUCCACAUAUUGAUGGUAUAUAAUAAGAAUACUUCCUGCUUUCAGAGAGUAGUGCAAUACACUAUAUCUGCCGGAUGUAGCAAAAAUAUAUAUUGGACAAGCAAGCAUAGGUAAUAUGUAACUUUUAGUUCUGUGGUUAUCGCCAUUCUUUCAUGAUUCCUUCAUCCUGUCCCCUGUAGCCCACCACUGCAGCUCUCAUAAUCCAAUACAGUCUCCUUUUGAGGCUUCUGCUAAGCUGUGAACAGGCCAGCAGGUGAUUCUCUGAGUGCCACUCACCCAUCACAAGAGCUGCGUGCAAUACCCACAGAACAUCAAGUCUCCACAUACUCACCUUGGAUUUGAGGAGUUUAAGAACCUAUAAAAGCCCAGUCUACAUGGAAGGAGGUUAUUCACACCACAGGAGAGCUGGAAAACCUCCCUUCCCGCUGCCCAGCUUCUCUUUCCCUCCCUCCAACAUUUCCUUCUCUCCUGAGGUCCCCGGGGAAGGCGGAGAAGGAAGUUGCGGUGUGAAAGGACAGCUGUAGGGGAACUCGGACCUGAAUGGUUCCCACCCUUGCAGCCUGAAUGGCAGGAUUCUCCCAUGCUUCGCUGUAAACUUCCUCGCUAUCAGCUCUGCGAGUGAGCUGUAGUCCGAAGCCACUCAAGCACUGCGAUACAUUGUGCCUUUGCCAAUGAGCUGCUCUAAACUAGUGGUUUUUAAUAGUUUUUCAUUGUGGAAAAUAAUCUGCAACAUUAAGUAAAAUUAAUGUCCAGUAGAGUCUGUGGUAGAAAUGCUAAAUUUUGUAGCCCUUUUGAGAAAAGCAAAGCUAGCAAUUUACAAAAAAAAAAAAAAAUUCAAGGGUACAAGCAAGAUAAUUUCACUGCAUUAUAUCAAGAUCCAUCUAUCCAUUAGCUUCAAAUUAGGAACCACCUGCUCUUCAUAACUGUCUGUGUGUAUGAAUGAGGAAUGUGGAGUUUAAUUAAAUAGCACGUGUGGGUGGAAACGGCUUUUCAGCAGCCGUGAGGUUAUUAGUGGACGUCUAUAUUGAAGUUCUUCACAUUUCUGAAAGGCUAAUUACAAUGUAAAUUUAGUUUUUAAAUUAUUGCUUU